rnacentral:rRNA from 1 species
AGCUCCAAUAGCGUAUAUUAAAGUUGUUUCGGUUAAAAAGCUCGUAGUUGGAUUUCUGUUGAGGGUGGCCGGUCCACUCUUCGAGUGAGUAUCUGGCUCAGCCUCGGCAUCCUCUUGGGGAACAUCACUGCGCUUCACUGCGUGGGGUGGUAUUCAAGACUUUUACUUUGAGGAAAUUAGAGUGUUCACUGCAAGCGUUAGCAAUUGAAUACAUUAGCAUGGAAUAAUAAUAUAGGACCUUGGUACUAUUUUAUUGGUUUCUAGAACUAGGGUAAUGAUUAAUAGGGACAAUUGGGGGCAUUCGUAUUAACGCGUCAGAGGUGGAAUUCUUAGAUUGCGUUACGACGAACUACUGCGAAAGCAUUUGCCAAGGAUGUUU